rnacentral:rRNA from 1 species
UACGUAGGGUGCAAGCGUUGUCCGGAAUUAUUGGGCGUAAAGAGCUCGUAGGCGGUUUGUCGCGUCUGCUGUGAAAAUCCAGGGCUUAACCCUGGACCUGCAGUGGGUACGGGCAGACUGGAGUGCGGUAGGGGAGAUCGGAAUUCCUGGUGUAGCGGUGAAAUGCGCAGAUAUCAGGAGGAACACCGGUGGCGAAGGCGGAUCUCUGGGCCGUAACUGACGCUGAUGCGCGAAAGCGUGGGGAGCAAACGGG